GGGUUGUGAGGUUAAGCGACUAAGCGUACACGGUGGAUGCCCUGGCAGUCAGAGGCGAUGAAGGACGUGCUAAUCUGCGAAAAGCGUCGGUAAGGUGAUAUGAACCGUUAUAACCGGCGAUGUCCGAAUGGGGAAACCCAGUGUGAUUCGUCACACUAUCGUUAACUGAAUACAUAGGUUAACGAGGCGAACCGGGGGAACUGAAACAUCUAAGUACCCCGAGGAAAAGAAAUCAACCGAGAUUCCCCCAGUAGCGGCGAGCGAACGGGGAGCAGCCCAGAGUCUGAAUCAGCUUGUGUGUUAGUGGAACGGUCUGGAAAGUCCGACGGUACAGGGUGAUAGUCCCGUACACCAAAAUGCACAGGUUGUGAACUCGAAGAGUAGGGCGGGACACGUGGUAUCCUGUCUGAAUAUGGGGGGACCAUCCUCCAAGGCUAAAUACUCCUGACUGACCGAUAGUGAACCAGUACCGUGAGGGAAAGGCGAAAAGAACCCCGGCGAGGGGAGUGAAAAAGAACCUGAAACCGUGUACGUACAAGCAGUGGGAGCACCUUCGGGUGUGACUGCGUACCUUUUGUAUAAUGGGUCAGCGACUUAUAUUCUGUAGCAAGGUUAACCGUAUAGGGGAGCCGCAGGGAAACCGAGUCUUAACUGGGCGUUAAGUUGCAGGGUAUAGACCCGAAACCCGGUGAUCUAGCCAUGGGCAGGUUGAAGGUUGGGUAACACUAACUGGAGGACCGAACCGACUAAUGUUGAAAAAUUAGCGGAUGACUUGUGGCUGGGGGUGAAAGGCCAAUCAAACCGGGAGAUAGCUGGUUCUCCCCGAAAGCUAUUUAGGUAGCGCCUCGUGAAUUCAUCUUCGGGGGUAGAGCACUGUUUCGGCUAGGGGGUCAUCCCGACUUACCAACCCGAUGCAAACUACGAAUACCGAAGAAUGUUAUCACGGGAGACACACGGCGGGUGCUAACGUCCGUCGUGAAGAGGGAAACAACCCAGACCGCCAGCUAAGGUCCCAAAGUCAUGGUUAAGUGGGAAACGAUGUGGGAAGGCACAGACAGCCAGGAUGUUGGCUUAGAAGCAGCCAUCAUUUAAAGAAAGCGUAAUAGCUCACUGGUCGAGUCGGCCUGCGCGGAAGAUGUAACGGGGCUAAACCAUGCACCGAAGCUGCGGCAGCGACACUAUGUGUUGUUGGGUAGGGGAGCGUUCUGUAAGCCUGCGAAGGUGACCUGUGAGGGUUGCUGGAGGUAUCAGAAGUGCGAAUGCUGACAUAAGUAACGAUAAAGCGGGUGAAAAGCCCGCUCGCCGGAAGACCAAGGGUUCCUGUCCAACGUUAAUCGGGGCAGGGUGAGUCGACCCCUAAGGCGAGGCCGAAAGGCGUAGUCGAUGGGAAACAGGUUAAUAUUCCUGUACUUGGUGUUACUGCGAAGGGGGGACGGAGAAGGCUAUGUUAGCCGGGCGACGGUUGUCCCGGUUUAAGCAUGUAGGCUGAUUGUCCAGGCAAAUCCGGAUAAUCAAGGCUGAGGUGUGAUGACGAGGCACUACGGUGCUGAAGUAACAAAUGCCCUGCUUCCAGGAAAAGCCUCUAAGCAUCAGGUAACAUUAAAUCGUACCCCAAACCGACACAGGUGGUCAGGUAGAGAAUACCAAGGCGCUUGAGAGAACUCGGGUGAAGGAACUAGGCAAAAUGGUGCCGUAACUUCGGGAGAAGGCACGCUGGUGUGUAGGUGAAGUCCCUGCGGAUGGAGCUGAGACCAGUCGAAGAUACCAGCUGGCUGCAACUGUUUAUUAAAAACACAGCACUGUGCAAACACGAAAGUGGACGUAUACGGUGUGACGCCUGCCCGGUGCCGGAAGGUUAAUUGAUGGGGUUAUCCGUAAGGAGAAGCUCUUGAUCGAAGCCCCGGUAAACGGCGGCCGUAACUAUAACGGUCCUAAGGUAGCGAAAUUCCUUGUCGGGUAAGUUCCGACCUGCACGAAUGGCGUAAUGAUGGCCAGGCUGUCUCCACCCGAGACUCAGUGAAAUUGAACUCGCUGUGAAGAUGCAGUGUACCCGCGGCAAGACGGAAAGACCCCGUGAACCUUUACUAUAGCUUGACACUGAACAUUGAGCCUUGAUGUGUAGGAUAGGUGGGAGGCUUUGAAGCGUGGACGCCAGUCUGCGUGGAGCCAACCUUGAAAUACCACCCUUUAAUGUUUGAUGUUCUAACGUUGGCCCCUUACCGGGGUUGCGGACAGUGUCUGGUGGGUAGUUUGACUGGGGCGGUCUCCUCCCAAAGCGUAACGGAGGAGCACGAAGGUUAGCUAAUCCUGGUCGGACAUCAGGAGGUUAGUGCAAUGGCAUAAGCUAGCUUGACUGCGAGCGUGACGGCGCGAGCAGGUGCGAAAGCAGGUCAUAGUGAUCCGGUGGUUCUGAAUGGAAGGGCCAUCGCUCAACGGAUAAAAGGUACUCCGGGGAUAACAGGCUGAUACCGCCCAAGAGUUCAUAUCGACGGCGGUGUUUGGCACCUCGAUGUCGGCUCAUCACAUCCUGGGGCUGAAGUAGGUCCCAAGGGUAUGGCUGUUCGCCAUUUAAAGUGGUACGCGAGCUGGGUUUAGAACGUCGUGAGACAGUUCGGUCCCUAUCUGCCGUGGGCGCUGGAGAAUUGAGGGGGGCUGCUCCUAGUACGAGAGGACCGGAGUGGACGCAUCACUGGUGUUCGGGUUGUCAUGCCAAUGGCACUGCCCGGUAGCUAAAUGCGGAAGAGAUAAGUGCUGAAAGCAUCUAAGCACGAAACUUGCCCCGAGAUGAGUUCUCCCUGAGACUUUAAGUCUCCUGAAGGAACGUUAAAGACGAUGACGUUGAUAGGCCGGGUGUGUAAGCGCAGCGAUGCGUUGAGCUAACCGGUACUAAUGAACCGUGAGGCUUAACCUUACAACGCCGAAG
rnacentral:rRNA from 1 species